GACAGAGGGUGCAAACGUUGGGCGGAAUUACUGGGCGUAAAGCGAGUGUAGGCGGUUUCCUAAGGCAGGUGUGAAAGCCCCGGGCUCAACCCGGGAAGUGCACUUGAAACUGGGAGGCUAGAGUAUCGGAGAGGUUGGUGGAAUUCCCGGUGUAGUGGUGAAAUGCGUAGAUAUCGGGAGGAACACCAGUGGCGAAGGCGGCUACCUGGUCCUACAUUGACGCUGAGAUACGAAAGCAUGGGGAGCAAACAGG
rnacentral:rRNA from 1 species